rnacentral:lncRNA from 1 species
CUCUAGAAAACAUUUUUUGGAAUCUCAAAGUGCAUGAAUUAAAAUGUUAUUUUUACUUCUUUUCAGCCUGUUGAGGAGCAGACUGUGAAGGGGCACAUCAGCCCAGGAGAAAGCACGCCGAGCAGCCGUGUGGGGAUGAGCAGACGUCUGCGGGAACUCUCCCUCAAGGAUGUGGGCCAUUUACCUCCUCUUCUCUCUCCUUUGCCUGGAAUCCCCAUGGCUCUGCCCUCGGCACUGGGAGGACUGAAGGUGAUUUGACCAGCAUCAUCAGCAGAAGUCUAGAAGAAAUGACAGCAAGAGACUUCACCCAGAGGCACCAGUGAAAUGAUCCUUGGAAAGCCUCCAGGAAUGCAGGCUGUGACGGUUUGUAAUCCCAAGCUGUCCAGGGUUGGGUC